GGAAGUAUCGCCUAAUGGUAGGGCAGCAGCUUGGAAAGCUGUGGGCGGCAACGUCUUGUGGGUUCGAUUCCCUCUACUUCCG
rfam:Fusobacterium necrophorum subsp. funduliforme 1_1_36S genomic scaffold supercont1.4, whole genome shotgun sequence.